rnacentral:lncRNA from 1 species
CCUGGAUCUAUUGUGAAGGUCCAACCAACAGGACACACCUUUAGAUCAAAUGUGGCGUUGGGUGCUGGGGAUAUAGCGACCUAAGGAACACAUGAUUGUUGACUUUGCGGAACUUUUAUUACGGUCUGGGUGUCAGACCUUAGUCAAAUAAUCACUCACAUAAAUGCAAAGUUCAAACAGUUUAAGCUCUGAAGAAAAACAUGCCCAGGGCGUAAGAGGGGAUCUGAUGUGGCCAGGGGGUGAAGUGUUGUCAAGGAAAACUUCUCCGUGGAUUCAAAGGAUCCAUAUGCCUGACGGAGUGGGGGGAUCAGUUCUUUGCUCUUUGAAACGAGAUGAUCCAUCUCACACUGAAAGUUUCCUAUCGUGAGGUUCAGUGUCAUCUAGAGUCAACGGAUGAAGUAUAAGUGUUCACUGUGGAAUUUCUACAACACAAAAAGAAGAGGCUGGAUAAAGAAGAUAAACUGAAUAUUGAAACUGUUCCUUUUCCAUUAAAAAAUAGCAAAAAAAGUUUUCC